GUUUUUGGUUUCUCCAUAUAUUUUGCCUAUAUUCACAACAUACUAUGGGUGUAAAUUUUAGAAU
rnacentral:sRNA from 16 species